GACGAACGCUGGCGGCGUGCUUAACACAUGCAAGUCGAACGGAAAGGCCCUGCUUUUGUGGGGUGCUCGAGUGGCGAACGGGUGAGUAACACGUGAGUAACCUGCCCUUGACUUUGGGAUAACUUCAGGAAACUGGGGCUAAUACCGGAUAGGAGCUCCUGCUGCAUGGUGGGGGUUGGAAAGUUUCGGCGGUUGGGGAUGGACUCGCGGCUUAUCAGCUUGUUGGUGGGGUAGUGGCUUACCAAGGCUUUGACGGGUAGCCGGCCUGAGAGGGUGACCGGCAGCAGUGGGAAUGAGAGACGGCCGGGAGGCAGACGGGAGGAAGCAGGGGGGAGGAGGGCAGACGGCGUGGAAGCCGUAAGCAGCAACGCCGCGUGCGGGAGGGCGGCCGACGGGGGGGAGACCGGGAUCGCCGGUGAAGAAGGGGCAGGGACGGGAAUGGGUAAAGGAGCAACCGCUAAUUACGUG
rnacentral:rRNA from 1 species